rnacentral:rRNA from 1 species
AGUGAACGCUGGCGGUAGGCCUAACACAUGCAAGUCGAACGGCAGCACAGUGAGAGCUUGCUCUUACGGGUGGCGAGUGGCGGACGGGAGAGGAAUAUAUCGGAACCUACUUUUUCGUGUGGGAUAACGUAGGGAAACCUAAGAUAAUACAGCAUACGACCUACGGGUGAAGGCGUGGGAUAUUCGGCCCUUGCGGGAUUGGAUGAGCCGCUGUCGAAUUAGCUAGUUGGCGGGGUAACGGCCCACCAAGUCGACGAGGCGUAGCUGGUCUGAGAGGAUGGUCACCGACACUGGAACUUCGACUCGGUCCAGUGUCCUACGGUAGGCAGCAGUGGGGAAUAUUCGACAAUGGGCGCAAGCCUUAUCCAGUCAUACCAAGUGUGUCAAGAAAGCCUGCGGGGCGGAAAGCCCUGUUUCUGGUUGAGAAAGGCAGUAGGCUAAUACCCCGCCAUCCUGACGGUACCCAGUGAAUAAGCCCCGGCUAACUGCGUG